UGACAAUACAACUCAAGUGGAGUCUUCAUUCUCGCCAAUACUGCAAAUGGAAAAUCUGGCAUGCACAAUGGGAAAGAUGUUGUUAUCCUUCUACUGAUCUGUGAUACACUGGGAUUGAAUCAAGUAUCAUUUCACUAGUGCUCUAUCAAAUGCAAGAUAGCUAAACAACAAACAAAGGUUCCAGUCAUCCCAGAAACACAGCACUAAACUUUCCAUGACCUGCUGGAGAUCAAAUAAAAACACUGCAAAUGAACAAAAUCUAAAAUUAAAGGACAACAUCUCAUGGAAAUGCAACCGGGGAAACCAUCAGUCAACAAGAACUUAAAUAUCUACAAAUUCUGCCACCACUGCAGAUACCAGUCAACGAUUAAAUAACUUGUUCACGGGUUGAAAAAUCUAAUGUCUGAAGAACACUUAAGAAAUUAUAUGCUGUGUUGUCUUUAUUAUUCCUGUCUGAAUAGGACACUUUUUUCUUGAAACUUAUUGCUUACAUUUCUGUAUGAUGUCAUGCUUUUCUCUGUUUUUGAGGUGAGUAGGUAAUAAAAGUUGUCUUCCAAUCAAAACGUUUUUAAUUGGUUUCUUAAUUUUGAUGAGCACUACAUUUUAAUUGAAGUGUCAUAGCUGAAUGCUAAAAUGAAAUAAAAUAUUUGUUUUGACUGAGUCUCUGAGAGGGGUUUUAAAAGAGGGGAGCCAAUCCACCCUUUCUAACCUGGUCAUACCAAGUUAGUACAUGGACUUUAGUUAGAAGGCUGUUUAUCUCAACUCCUAAUGUUUUUUUGUCACUUUGUAAUAAAGUAAAAUCAUAUCAAUGUUGGUUGAACCAUACCUGGAAUGCUGAAUUCUGUUCAGGUUUCUGUUAUAAGGAACUGAUAUCCAGGCACUGAACUUUGUGAGGAAAAUAAUUCACUAAUGAUAGCAGAAUGUGAAGUUGUAUCCACCAGGGAAAAAAAAAUAAACAGGCUGGGGUCUGUCUGCUCCUGAAAAGUCAUCAUGUAGUGGA